UAUAUACUUCUUUUGUUCGGAAAUACUUGUCAUCAAAAUAAAUAAAAAAUGAUGUAUCUAGAUGUAUUUUAGUUUUAAAUACAUCUUUUUUGUUCAUUUUGAUGACAAAUAUUUUUAGACGAAGAAAGUAUGUA
rnacentral:pre_miRNA from 1 species